UUAUAUCGAUGGCACCGGGCGUCUUCAUGCAUGAGGGCAGAUCCGACUGGCCGCACCGAGAUCUCUGCUCAGGUCGAGGGGAAGUCUGUUUAUGGAGGCUGCUAAUCAAAGCCCAUUGUUAGCGAUUAGGGGAGUAGGACACUUCUCCAGCACAGAAACACGGCCCGGUGGGAUUUUUCUGCAUGCGGAUGAUUGGACAUCGCUAUUCAAAGGGAGCCUUCACAAAGGACAAUCAUUAAAGAAAGAGAUUUACUCCAUCACUCUGAAAAUCCUUUAAAUAAAAUUUAUAGAUAAUCCAUGAACACAAAAGCUGUUUUCCUUUUUUUGCUGUAUUUUCGAAGCUCCUCACGUUUGACUCAUUAAGUCCAGCAUCGCCCUGACAUCACUAGUCGUCUUCCUGCUGUGAUCAACUCAGACAGUUUAAUCUCGUCCUUCGCUAUAAUCCAUCCACACAAGACACAGGACCUAGACUUUGAUGUACUGUAAGCGACCUCCAGUAGAUUGGUCUACGGCGAAAACUGCAGACUUUUCCAGGGAAAAUGGUAAACACUGUCUACAGUGAUGAGGAAAAGGGAUCCCAAGACAAGGAAAGUCCUGAACUCUGACCUUCUGCACCACUGGCGUGCUGAUGGAUGCGACGGGAGGAGGAGGAGGAGGAGGAGGAGGAGGAGGAGGAGGAGGACGCUGCAGGGCUUCAGGCGAUGCAGGGAGGCCCGCUGGCUCCUCCAGCGCUCACAGGACUUCUCUGUAACGGGAACGGUGCCGCAAUAAUCCUGUUGGAGCGGAGAUGAAAAUAAAAGCACCUCGACUAUUCUUCUAAUAUAAAGG
rnacentral:lncRNA from 1 species